GACGAACGCUGGCGGCGUGCUUAACACAUGCAAGUCGAACGGAAAGGCCCUGCUUUUGUGGGGUGCUCGAGUGGCGAACGGUGAGUAACACGUGAGUAACCUGCCCCUUGACUUUGGGAUAACUUCAGGAAACUGGGGCUAAUACCGGAUAGGAGCUCCUGCUGCAUGGUGGGGGUUGGAAAGUUUCGGCGGUUGGGGAUGGACUCGCGGCUUAUCAGCUUGUUGGUGGGGUAGUGGCUUACCAAGGCUUUGACGGGUAGCCGGCCUGAGAGGGUGACCGGCCACAUUGGGACUGAGAUACGGCCCAGACUCCUACGGGAGGCAGCAGUGGGGAAUAUUGCACAAUGGGCGGAAGCCUGAUGCAGCAACGCCGCGUGCGGGAUGACGGCC
rnacentral:rRNA from 1 species